CCUACGGGAGGCAGCAGUGGGGAAUAUUGGGCAAUGGGCGAAAGCCUGACCCAGCAAUGCCGCGUGAAUGAAGAAGGUCUUCGGAUUGUAAAAUUCUGUCCUAUGGGAAGAAAAAAUUACUGUAUUAUAGGUGGAAGCCCCGGCUAACCACGUGCCAGCAGCCGCGGUAAUACGUAGGGGGCGAGCGUUGUCCGGAAUUACGGGGCAUAAAGUUAGCUGAGGCGGCACUACAAGUCUCAUGUGAAAUACCCGGGCUUAACUUGGGGGUUGCAUGGGAAACUGUAGAGCUUGAGUACAGGAGAGGCAAGCGGAAUUCCUAGUGUAGCAGUGAAAUGCAUAGAUAUUAGGAGGAACACCAGUGGCGAAGGCGGCUUGCUGGACUGAAACUGACGCUGAGGCUCGAAAGCGUAGGGAGCAAACAGGAUUAGAUACCCGGGUAGUC
rnacentral:rRNA from 1 species